GCACCACAACAGGUGGAGCCUGCGGUUUAAUCGGACUCAACGCCGGGAAACUCACCAGAUAAGACAGCUGAAUGAUAGUCGGGCUGAAGACUCUACUUGACUAGCUGAGAGGAGGUGCAUGGCCGUCGUCAGUUCGUACUGUGAAGCAUCCUGUUAAGUCAGGCAACGAGCGAGACCCACGCCAACAGUUGCCAGCAUGUCCUCCGGGAUGAUGGGGACACUGUUGGGACCGCCUCUGCUAAAGAGGAGGAAGGAAUGGGCAACGGUAGGUCAGCAUGCCCCGAAUUAUCCGGGCUACACGCGGGCUACAAUGGUCAGGACAAUGGGUAUCGACACCGAGAGGUGGAGGCAAUCUCCUAAACCUGUCCUUAGUUCGGAUUGUGGGCUGCAACUCGCCCACAUGAAGCUGGAAUCCGUAGUAAUCGCGUUUCAAAAUAGCGCGGUGAAUAUGUCCCUGCUCCUU
rnacentral:rRNA from 1 species